rnacentral:rRNA from 1 species
GGAGGAACCAUGAGAUCGCAAGACCUUGCGCUCAUUGAGCGGCCGACCCUUGAUUAGCUAGUUGGUGAGGUAAAGGCUUACCAAGGCGACGAUCAGUAGCUGGUCUGAGAGGACGACCAGCCACACUGGGACUGAGACACGGCCCAGACUCCUACGGGAGGCAGCAGUGGGGAAUUUUGGACAAUGGGGGAAACCCUGAUCCAGCCAUGCCGCGUGAGUGAAGAAGGCCUUCGGGUUGUAAAGCUCUUUCAGCCGGAACGAAACGGUCACGGCUAAUACCUGUGACUACUGACGGUACCGGAAGAAGAAGCACCGGCUAACUACGUGCCAGCAGCCGCGGUAAUUCUUAGGGUGCGAGCGUUAAUCGGAAUUACUGGGCGUAAAGCGUGCGCAGGCGGUUUUGUAAGUCAGAUGUGAAAUCCCCGGGCUUAACCUGGGAACUGCGUUUGAAACUACAAAGCUAGAAGGG